CUAUGGUACCAACUCUUUUGCUGUGCCAGCACAGAGGUCUCCAGAGCGACUCUCCUGAAUCAGAUAGCAGGGGCUGUUUGCAGUUUCGUUUCCACGCUUCGCUGACUGGUUAGACAGUGAUCACAGGUUCGGAAGCACGAGCCUCACCACAGCGGAGGAGGCCUCCACUCUGAAGCGGGAUUCCACGCUCCUGCACCCUAAGAUCAGCUAGACUCUCUGCCUUGUUUCAUCUUCUUUCUUUUCCUAAAGAAUCACGGGGAGAACUGACCUCUCUGGGACUCAACCGUGGCUGGAAGGGGACAGGAGAAGCCCUUUCUGGAGGACAGCUGAGCCCUGCAGCUGCCAUCCUGCCUGGCAGGCUAGGGCUGGGCUGCGGGAAGGCCCCCCAGGAGGCUUGGCUGGGCAUGCUCUGUGAAGCCCGAGGUGGCUGGGACUCAUUCUAGUGAUGGACACCAAGUCAGCGGGCUCCUCUCUCCAGUUCCUCGACAUCCCUGGAGGCCCCUCUGCUCCUGCAGCCCUAGCCUUGGAGCUGAUGGUUC
rnacentral:lncRNA from 1 species